rnacentral:rRNA from 1 species
UACGUAGGGUGCAAGCGUUGUCCGGAAUUAUUGGGCGUAAAGAGCUCGUAGGCGGCUCGUCGCGUCGACCGUGAAAACCAGCAGCUUAACUGCUGGCUUGCGGUUGAUACGGGCGGGCUAGAGUUCGGUAGGGGAGACUGGAAUUCCUGGUGUAGCGGUGAAAUGCGCAGAUAUCAGGAGGAACACCGGUGGCGAAGGCGGGUCUCUGGGCCGAUACUGACGCUGAGGAGCGAAAGCGUGGGGAGCGAACAGG